rnacentral:rRNA from 1 species
GUGGGGAAUCUUGCGCAAUGGGCGAAAGCCUGACGCAGCCAUGCCGCGUGAAUGAUGAAGGUCUUAGGAUUGUAAAAUUCUUUCACCGGGGACGAUAAUGACGGUACCCGGAGAAGAAGCCCCGGCUAACUUCGUGCCAGCAGCCGCGGUAAUACGAAGGGGGCUAGCGUUGCUCGGAAUUACUGGGCGUAAAGGGCGCGUAGGCGGACAGUUUAGUCAGAGGUGAAAGCCCAGGGCUCAACCUUGGAAUUGCCUUUGAUACUGGCUGUCUUGAGUACGGGAGAGGUGAGUGGAACUCCGGGUGUAGAGGUGAAAUUCGUAGAUAUUCGGAAGAGCACCAGUGGCGAAGGCGACUCACUGGCCCGUUACUGACGCUGAGGCGCGAAAGCGUGGGGAGCAAACAGGAUUAGAUACCCGGGUAGUCC